CCUACGGGUGGCAGCAGUGGGGAAUAUUGCUCAAUGGGCGAAAGCCUGAACCAGCAACGCCGCGUGGAGGAUGAAGGUUUUCGGGUUGUAAACUCCUUUUGUUAGGGAAGAAAAUGACGGUAUCUAACGAAUAAUCACCGGCUAACGCCGUGCCAGCAGCCGCGGUAAUACGGAGGGUGCAAGCGUUACUCGGAAUCACUGGGCGUAAAGAGCGCGUAGGCGGGAAGGCAAGUAAGAUGUGAAAUCCUAUGGCUUAACCAUAGAACUGCAUUUGAAACUGUUAUUCUUGAGUAUGGGUGAGGUAGGUGGAAUUCCGGGUGUAGGGGUAAAAUCCGUAGAGAUCAAGAGGAACACUGAUGGCGAAGGCGACCUGCUAGAACAUAACUGACGCUGAUGCGCGAAAGCGUGGGGAGCAAACAGGAUUAGAUACCCGAGUAGUC
rnacentral:rRNA from 1 species